rnacentral:lncRNA from 1 species
UGUCGCACUAAUUUUUUUUUUUAGACGGGUCGUUCGACGUUACGCGCGACUGGAACUAGGGUCCACUGGUUUAUACGCAAAUGUGAGUCAAGAAGCAGGGGCAUUUUAAUUGAUAUUAGAACGAGAAAUAGAGAUGCAGAGUGCACGCACAAGGAAACAAAUGACGGGAGGGGGGAUGGAGGGAGAAAAAGUUUAUGUAUUUGCAGCGCAGAAUGAAACAUGAG